rnacentral:rRNA from 1 species
UACGUAGGGUCCGAGCGUUGUCCGGAAUUAUUGGGCGUAAAGAGCUCGUAGGCGGUCCGUUAAGUCGGAAGUGAAAUCUCAAGGCUCAACCUUGAAAUCGCUUUCGAUACUGGCGGACUUGAGGCAGGUAGGGGAAGGUGGAAUUCCUGGUGUAGCGGUGAAAUGCGUAGAGAUCAGGAAGAACACCCGUGGCGCAAGCGGCCACCUGGCCGAGACCUGACGCUGAGGCACGAGAGCGUGGGGAGCGAACCGG